UGCACUUAACCAGAGAAAUAGGGACAUCAACCAGCAAAGAUGCAUCCUCAUUUAAUAGAGCUUGAAAUUACUAUAAUCCUUAAAGUACAGCGAGAAGAAGAAAUUUCACCUGCCUGCACAUCGGUCGUUGACUCUCCAUCUGACUUGGAGGGACUCUGAGGGACCAACCUGAGCCUAAGAAGAGGCAAGAGUCCCCUUCAAGGACACACUGGGAACUUACGGACCUCUUUCUCCAUGGUGCAGAGCGCAGAGAAGACAGCAGGAUUCUCAUCUCUCCUUCUGCAUUCCAUUUGAGACAAGAUGUUCGAAUUGAAGCAAAUGAGAAACAUACAAAAAAAUGAAGUAAAUAAAGAAGCUAUGGCCUCACCCCGAUAUGUUGCUGGCAGGAGAGACAGCAGCAAACACAGGAAGCUCAAGGAAAAUCAGUGUGGCUAGAGACAGAUACUGAACUGGAGCCUGGAAUGAGUUGAGGCUGGAGAGGGAGGUAGGACAAGACUCUGAGGCUGUGGCUGGGCUGAGUAGCUUUGUCUAUUCUCCAAGAGCAAAGGGAAGAACAUGGCCCCAUGACAGCACACUCUGGGAAAAUGAGACUUCUGAAUUGGGGACCUUGAAACAGGAGGGCCCACAUUACCAGCCGUGUAAGAAGCAUCUGUUCAGCAGCAGAAUGCGAAGAGGAUGGUAGGGGGCCACUGCCUCCCUGUGUAACCAUAAUAGAUCCCUUACCCAACAUAUGCAGCAAGUCAACACCUGGAGGCAUGGGGUUGCAGCAGAGAAAGAGCUUUAAUCAUAAGGCCACCGAAGGAGGACAUGGGAGGAAACCUCAAAUCCAUCUCUGCCAGGAAUUCAGGGCUAAGGUUUGAAGAGAUUUGGAGUGGGCUGAAGGGUGGGAAUUGUUGAUCAGUUGGAGUUCAGGGCAAAGUCAUGGGCCAGGGAGAGGAAGAAGCUGUAUUCUCAUGACAAUCUCAUUCCCCUAUGGGGGUCUACACACUAGUUGCUAGAAUUUGGGGUCUGAAAAACAUCCUAAGCAAUCCUUAAACAGAAGCCCCAUGAGCUGAUUGUCAGAGGUCCUGUCGACAGGAGCAAUGGGAAUGCAAGUCAAUCCUUCAACAGUCUCAUGACCCUGUGUCCUAAAUCCUGUCUGUAGGAACAACAGGGAAGCACCUGGUGUAGACCUGGUGCUACUAGGUUUCUAGCAACAAGGUAGGGGCCAGAGUGCAGCCUGAUGCAUCCUUAACCGUAACUCUAUUUCUGUCCAAAACCUUGUAUACAAUUCUUAUCAAUCCUAGGGGGAUGGUUUCACCCAGCGCCUGACAUGGGAAAGGCUGCUGAGGUCAACAGUGACAGCAGCGGAAGCCCUGGCAGUGGUGGACGUCACCAUGGGUGGCUGAGAGGCAUCCCUCUCCAAGUUCUGUGCUGAGUAUACAUUGCAGUUUGGUUUUCGGGGGGAAGGAGAUUCUGAAAUUGAGUUUGGCAUGUAAGACAUUUAUUUGGGAGUGUCCUUGAUAUAAACAUCUAUAGGAGAAAGGGGAGAAAGCUGGCAGAGAGGAUGUUGAGCUUGGAGGUGGUCCCGGCGGCCUCAGCCCAUUCUGUUGGUGCUCAGGAACCCACAUGGCCUGUCAGAGCUGUGCUCCAUCGGGUCAGGCAUUUACUCCUUAGCAAUGGUAACCACCCAAGGGGUUCACCUUGCCCUCUGCCUAAACAGAGUGGAUUCAUCAAGACAGGGGAAUUGCAACAAAGAAAGAAUAAUUCACGCAGACCCAGCUGUGCGGGAGACCGGAGUUUUACUAUUACUCAAAUCAGUCUCCCCGAGCAUUCAGGGAGUAGAGUUUUUAAGGACAACUUUGUGGGUUGGGGGAAGUCAGUGAGCCAGGAGUGCUGAUUGGUCAGAGAUAAAAUCACAGGGAGUCGAAGCUGUCUUCUUGCACAGAGUCAGUUCCUGGGUGGGGGUCACAAGAUCAGAUGGGCCAGUUUAUCUAUCUGGGUGGUGCCAGCUGAUCCAUCAAGUGCAGGGUUUGCAAAAUAUCUCAAGCACUGAUCUUAGGGGCAGCUUAGGGAGGGUCAGAAUCUUGUAGCCUCCAGCUGUGUGACUCCUAAACCAUAAUUUCUAAUCCUGUGGCUAAUGUUAGUCCUACAAAGGCAACUAGUCCCCAGGCAAGAAGGAGGUCUGCUUUGAGAAAGGGCUGUUACGAUCUUUGUUUACACUAUAAACUUUGUUUAAACUAUAUAAAACUAUAAACUUUGUUUAAACUAUAAACUAAGUUUCUCCCAAGGUUAGUUCAGCCUAAGCCUAGGAAUGAACAAGAACAGCUUGGAGGUUAGAAGCAAGAUAGAGUCGAUUAAGUUAGGUCUCAGUCGUAAUUUUGCAAAGGCUGUUUCACGAUUAUUACUAUUAUUGGCUAUGAGCCACCCCUAAAAGGGCAUGACCUUGAUGGGAAAGAUUUUCUGCAUUGGCAACAAUGCGGGCGAGAUUUGAGGGCUGUGUUCCGAAGCUGAGCUGCACAUGUGGGAUCCGGCUCUCCGGGUCCAUAUGCCCCUGUCACCAUGGUGUUUUAAAUAGUUGGUCUCAUUUGCUCUUCAUAUCAACCCUACAAAGCGGUGACUUUAUUUUCCUCUUCGACAGGUGAACAAACUGACUUAGAAUAGUUCUUGAGCUUGCCAUUGGGAAGUGAAAAUCAACUGCUUGAAUAAAUGUAAGGACUCAGGCCAGCGUGUAAGGGGGAAAGCAGGUAAGAAACAAGUCUCUGGGGGCAAGCACAGGCUCCAAGUAGCACAUUAAGAACCUAGAUUUGAUUUCGAAUUUGAGCUGCAUUGAAUUGUUCCAGGUGAGUGGUGAGUUCUGCCUGAUGGGGUGACAGUUGUUGGUCCUGAAUAUUUUUACUGUCCUCCUAAUUCAAGGCCAGAGGAACCAUCUUUUUUUUUUUUUUUUUGAGACAGUGUCUUGCUCUGUCACCCAGGCUGGAGUGCAGUGACGCAAUCUUGGCUCACUGCAAGCUCCGCCUCCUGGGUUCACCCCAUUCUCCUGCCUCAGCCUCCCGAGUAGCUGGGACUACAGCCACCCACCAACACGCCCGGCUAAUUUUUUUUGUAUUUUUAGUAGAGACAGGGUUUCACCAUGUGAGCCAGGAUGGUCUCGAUCUCCUGACCUUGUGAUCCACUCAUCUCAGCCUCCCAAAGUGCUGGGAUUACAGGCAUGAGCCACCCUGCCCAGCGGGACCAUCUUUUGCUACUUAAGUCAUGGACCUAUGUCUCAGCCUAGAAGUGUGGAAGAAUGAACCUGGAUAGUUGAGUAGAAGGCACAUCACACAAAACACUGAAACUGCCUUUGCAAAAAUCAGGGCAGUGAGAGAAGUCUUGCAUGGCUGACUCCAUCUUGCCUCAAGCCUCACAAGCCAGCUAUCUUCACUCAUUCCGGAGCACAGGCCAAGCUAACCAUGGGAGGAACUUAGAGUUUAACUUAGAGCAAGAAUGACAAUAGUCCCUUCCUAAAACUUAUUCCUCCUUGCUCAGGGACCAAAAACUAAUGAAAGGCCUCAAGAUGAGGUUCAUGGGAGGAGUCUGAAUUCUGCUAAAAUAUAGGCAGUUUCUAUCAUCCUUACUACUCAGGAGUCAUGUGGCCAGAGGUCACAAGAUUUGAGCCUUCCCCAAUUGCUCCUAUGGAUAACAUCACUACUGUAGAACCUAAGAUUGGUCUCUUGAGAUGUUUUUCAGACCUUUGCAUUCUGGCAAUCAACUGACCUCAUCUGGACUUGUGAGUCAUGACUGAACCGGUCCUGUGGCCCCACCUGGGGAUAAACUCAGCACACAAGUAUCAUUUUCCACACCUCUAUGAUUUCAUAUCCAACCAAUCAACAGCAUCCACUUUCUAGCCUCCUGCUUGCCAAAGCAUCUUUGAAAAAUCCUAACAUCUAAGCCUUUGGGGAGACUGAUUCUGUUCCCUAGAUGGCUGGCCUAGUGUCAGUUAAACUCUUUCUUUACUGCAAUACCACAGUCUCAGAAAAUUGGUUUUGUCUGUGCAAUGGGCAAGAAGAACGUGUCUGGUAAGCAUCUCCACACAUUCAGAAAUUGUCAAUCUAAGACAAUGGAGUUAUUUUCACCCUCAACAAAUGUCUCAACUCUGUGACAUUUUAAGCAAAUCUUAACUUUGACUUAUGAAUUCAAGAAGGAAAAAAAAAGUAAGAAAAUGUGAUUGUAAUAGUUCCUCUGAACGUCCUUCCCCCUGGAGACAGGCUCCCUUGCUGUUGUGUGGUCACUGUUCCCAUUAACCUAAUGAAAUCUACACUUGCAAAUGAAGUCCUGGGGUCCAGACUAAAUGUUCACAGUCUGGCCACAUGCUAAUAUUUCAUGUGCUAGCCCAUAUCUUUAAAUAGACUCAUGGAAAUGUGUUAAAUGAUAUAACAGAAUAAAAAUCAAGCUUAACUUAAAGAUGAGUCUUUUUUUUCUAUAUGAAGAAAUAAAGCAACUGAACAUUUCUUUGCACUUUAUGUUAAAUUAAAU